CAGCAGCCACGGGAAUACGUAGGGUGCGAGCGUUAAUCGGAAUUACUGGGCGUAAAGCGUGCGCAGGCGGCUUUGCAAGACAGAUGUGAAAUCCCCGGGCUCAACCUGGGAACUGCAUUUGUGACUGCAAGGCUAGAGUACGGUAGAGGGGGAUGGAAUUCCGCGUGUAGCAGUGAAAUGCGUAGAUAUGCGGAGGAACACCAAUGGCGAAGGCAAUCCCCUGGACCUGUACUGACGCUCAUGCACGAAAGCGUGGGGAGCAAACAGGAUUAGAGACCCGGGUAGUCCCUGUCUCUUAUAC
rnacentral:rRNA from 1 species